UACGGAGGGGGCUAGCGUUGUUCGGAAUUACUGGGCGUAAAGAGCGCGCAGGCGGCUUGGUAAGUCGGAUGUGAAAUCCCGAGGCUCAACCUCGGGCCUGCAGUGGGUACGGGCAGACUGGAGUGCGGUAGGGGAGAAUGGAAUUCCUGGUGUAGCGGUGGAAUGCGCAGAUAUCAGGAGGAACACCGAUGGCGAAGGCAGUUCUCUGGGCCGUAACUGACGCUGAGGAGCGAAAGCGUGGGGAGCGAACAGG
rnacentral:rRNA from 1 species